AUGAACGCUAGCUACAGGCUUAACACAUGCAAGUCGAGGGGCAGCAUGAACUUAGCUUGCUAAGUUUGAUGGCGACCGGCGCACGGGUGAGUAACACGUAUCCAACCUGCCGAUGACUCGGGGAUAGCCUUUCGAAAGAAAGAUUAAUACCCGAUGGCAUAGUUCUUCCGCAUGGUGGAACUAUUAAAGAAUUUCGGUCAUCGAUGGGGAUGCGUUCCAUUAGGUUGUUGGCGGGGUAACGGCCCACCAAGCCUUCGAUGGAUAGGGGUUCUGAGAGGAAGGUCCCCCACAUUGGAACUGAGACACGGUCCAAACUCCUACGGGAGGCAGCAGUGAGGAAUAUUGGUCAAUGGACGAGAGUCUGAACCAGCCAAGUAGCGUGAAGGAUGACUGCCCUAUGGGUUGUAAACUUCUUUUAUACGGGAAUAAAGUGAGGCACGUGUGCCUUUUUGUAUGUACCGUAUGAAUAAGGAUCGGCUAACUCCGUGCCAGCAGCCGCGGUAAUACGGAGGAUCCGAGCGUUAUCCGGAUUUAUUGGGUUUAAAGGGAGCGUAGGCGGACGCUUAAGUCAGUUGUGAAAGUUUGCGGCUCAACCGUAAAAUUGCAGUUGAUACUGGGUGUCUUGAGUACAGUAGAGGCAGGCGGAAUUCGUGGUGUAGCGGUGAAAUGCUUAGAUAUCACGAAGAACUCCGAUUGCGAAGGCAGCCUGCUGGACUGUAACUGACGCUGAUGCUCGAAAGUGUGGGUAUCAAACAGGAUUAGAUACCCUGGUAGUCCACACAGUAAACGAUGAAUACUCGCUGUUUGCGAUAUACAGUAAGCGGCCAAGCGAAAGCGUUAAGUAUUCCACCUGGGGAGUACGCCGGCAACGGUGAAACUCAAAGGAAUUGACGGGGGCCCGCACAAGCGGUGGAGCAUGUGGUUUAAUUCGAAGCAACGCGAAGAACCUUACCAGGUCUUGACAUCGAUCUAAAGGCUCCAGAGAUGGAGAGAUAGCUAUAGAGAAGACAGGUGGUGCAUGGUUGUCGUCAGCUCGUGUCGUGAGAUGUUGGGUUAAGUCCCGCAACGAGCGCAACCCUUAUCGAUAGUUACCAUCAGGUGAUGCUGGGGACUCUGUCGAGACUGCCGUCGUAAGAUGUGAGGAAGGUGGGGAUGACGUCAAAUCAGCACGGCCCUUACGUCCGGGGCUACACACGUGUUACAAUGGGGGGUACAGAAGGCAGCUACACGGCGACGUGAUGCUAAUCCCGAAAGCCUCUCUCAGUUCGGAUUGGAGUCUGCAACCCGACUCCAUGAAGCUGGAUUCGCUAGUAAUCGCGCAUCAGCCACGGCGCGGUGAAUACGUUCCCGGGCCUUGUACACACCGCCCGUCAAGCCAUGAAAGCCGGGGGUACCUGAAGUGCGUAACCGCAAGGAGCGCCCUAGGGUAAAACUGGUGAUUGGGGCU
rnacentral:rRNA from 1 species